UCGUCACCGUUUUUACGAACCGGCCUGGAAGCCAAAAUCGAUGAAAAAAUAUAAAAUGACUUUUUUCAGUAUUUCGACUCAAUAGUCAAAUAUCUUUUAUUUCACAAAUUUGUAGGUCUUAAAACCAUUUCGUUACGUCAUUUUUGACGUCAUGAGACGCUCUGGGUUCAUGAGAAUGGACGAAUGCCGUUUUUACGAACCGGCUUGAUACGCGCGCCGCAGCUAGCUCGCCGACUCGCAUCGUCUGUUUGCUGAAACUUCGUUUUUACGAUCUGGCCUGAGGCGUCAGCUUGUUCAAACUUGCAUCAGCUGGAAACUGUUGCUUUCAGGUAGACCAAUGGGUGUCUCAUCAAACCAUACCUUCAAAAGCUAAUUCGCUGUUCAUCGUUUGGUGAUUUCUAGAGUUGUGCGUGCCUCAUUUUAAUCUCGUGAGUAUUUCAUCAACAAAGAUUUUGCCAUUGUCUUUACUUCCAUAUUAAUAUUGCUGAAUUUACAUUGUACAAUAUCCUAAAUACACUGGGGGGGGGUAUGGAUUUGAAAGGAAAAUAAUGUAAAUUUCCUUUGAGAACAGAAUUCAAACUCUCACUCAAUGAAGAAAUGACAGUCUUGUUUUUGAACAUCUUUGGAAUGUUUAUCUGUGACAAUACAUAGCCUCAUUAUUAAUAAAUGUAUUUAAUAAAUGAAGUAAAUGAUUAAUUUAUAUACUAUAAUAGGAUGAUAAUUUCAUACUUAAUUCAUUAGAAAACUGAUGCUACAGUGAGUAAGGUGCUUAUAAUAUAAGUACUUUUCGUAUUUCAGCUGGAACUGUUGCUUUCAGGUAGACCAAUGGGUGCCUCAUCAAACCAUACCUUCGACAGUUAAUUUGCUGUUCAUUGUUAGGUGAUUUCCAGAGGUGUUGCGUGUCUGAUUUUAAGAGUGAACAGAUUCUUACCUCUUCAAACGCAUCUGUGGUGGACUGUUACUUUCUAUUCCAAUUGUUCAUUCUACUGGGGACGAGAUGCUCAGUGUCUGACUGUCUGGUGAAGGGCUACUACUGAAAUUCCAUAAAUUGAAGCAUUCCAGGAGUGAAAGAUGUUUCAGAGAUUUUUGGAGACUCCACUUUUGAAGAUGAAGGAAAAUCACAAUCUCUUCUGAUAAAGGUAUACAUUUCUUGUGGUUUGACUGAACUUGUUUUCCUUUGGGAUAUUGAUAGAGAGAUCUCAAGACAGUAAACAUCAGUUUUCACAAUAACUCUGAUAUUGUAUUUACUGUCAAGAGCAUGUGAUAACUAUUGUUGCUUCAGAGACCAAAGCUCAAAACACAAUAUAUCAGUUCUUAUUUGGACUGGUAUAUUGUAUUGUCUGUAAAGAGCACGUGAUAUGGUCUAAAAUGUUUUCAUGGCAGAGAAGGACAGUUAGGUAGACCAAAGCUCAAAACAGAAUACAUGUAUAACAGAUUAACUGUGAAUUUCUGUCAAGGGCAAUUGGUAAAUUCUUGUUGCAUUUAGAGACCAAGAAGGACACUUUAGGUAGAUCAAAGCUCAAAACAGAAUACAUGUAUAACAGAUUGCCUGUGAGAUGGUAUUUUCUGUCAAGGGCAAUUGGUAAAUUCUUUUUGCAUUUAGACACCAAGAAGGACACUUUAGGUAGACCAAAGCUCAAAACAAUACAUGUACAACAGAUUAACUGUGAGAUUGUAUUUUCUGGAAAAUUAAAACAAAAUACAUGUAUAACAGACUGUAAGAUUGUAUUUUCUGUCAAGACUGUAAGAAGUAUUUUUUUGUCCAGAGCAAGUGUACAAAUUUGUUAAAUUUAGCAAAUAUGAAAGACUCCGAUAUUUAAACAAUAGCUUAGAUCAGAAUACAUAUGUUGUUAGAAAGACUGUCAAAAUGCAGUUUGCUUGAAGUGUGGGUUUUUGUUUUAACCUAAUAUGAUGAAAUAGCUACUUGAUUUCCUAAACUGGUUUAUGUUCUCAUUUAGGAAAAAUUGUCACAAUUGCAUAUGUGUGUUGGGAAAAAAUUCAUGCAAAUAUUUUUAUCGCAUGUUUCUUUUCACAACAAAUUUUGAAACUCAGGUUAUGAAAUAAGUGUCAUUUUUACAAUUAAAGUUUUGCAGACACAACUUGCUACAGAUCU